GUGAGAGGGCAGGGCCAUCUGGGUCAGUGUAAGAGACAGGAAGUAUGUCACAAGGGUUAGAAACAGGAAGUAUGUCACAAAGGUAGAGACAGGAAGUAUGUCACAAGGGUUAGAAACAUGAAGUAUGCCACAAGGGUCAGGGUUAGAGACAGGAAGUAUGUCACAAAGGUCAGGAUUAGAGACAGGAAGUAUGUCACAAGGGUUAGAAACAGGAAGUAUGUCACAAAGGUAGAGACAGGAAGUAUGUCACAAGGGUUAGAAACAGGAAGUAUGUCACAAAGGUAGAGACAGGAAGUAUGUCACAAGGGUUAGAAACAUGAAGUAUGCCACAAGGGUCAGGGUUAGAGACAGGAAGUAUGUCACAAAGGUCAGGAUUAGAGACAGGAAGUAUGUCACAAGGGUUAGAAACAGGAAGUAUGUCACAAAGGUAGAGACAGGAAGUAUGUCACAAGGGUUAGAAACAGGAAGUAUGUCACAAAGGUAGAGACAGGAAGUAUGUCACAAGGGUUAGAAACAGGAAGUAUGUCACAAAGGUAGAGACAGGAAGUAUGUCACAAGGGUAGAGACAGGAAGUAUGUCACAAGGGUUAGAAACAGGAAGUAUGUCACAAAGGUAGAGACAGGAAGUAUGUCACAAGGGUUAGAAACAGGAAGUAUGUCACAAAGGUAGAGACAGGAAGUAUGUCACAAGGGUUAGAAACAGGAAGUAUGUCACAAGGGUCAGGGUUAGAGACAGGAAGUAUGUCACAAAGGUCAGGAUUAGAGACAGGAAGAAUGUCACAAGGGUAGAGACAGGAUGUAUGUCACAAGGGUUAGAAACAGGAAGUAUGUCACAAGGGUCAGGGUUAGAGACAGGAAGUAUGUCACAAAGGUCAGGAUUAGAGACAGGAAGAAUGUCACAAGGGUAGAGACAGGAAGUAUGUCACAAGGGUUAGAAACAUGAAGUAUGCCACAAGGGUCAGGGUUAGAGACAGGAAGUAUGUCACAAAGGUCAGGAUUAGAGACAGGAAGAAUGUCACAAGGGUAGAGACAGGAUGUAUGUCACCAGGGUCAGUGUAAGAGACAGGAAGUAUGUC